CUUGCUCCUCUGACGUUAGCGGCGGACGGGUGAGUAACACGUGGAUAACCUACCUAUAAGACUGGGAUAACUUCGGGAAACCGGAGCUAAUACCGGAUAGGACCAUGCUUUAGUGUGUGUGGUGGAAAGUUUUUUCGGUGUAGGAUGAGCCCGCGGCCUAUCAGCUUGUUGGUGGGGUAAUGGCCUACCAAGGCGGCGACGGGUAGCCGGACUGAGAGGUUGGUCGGCCACAUUGGGACUGAGAUACGGCCCAG
rnacentral:rRNA from 1 species